CCUACGGGAGGCUGCAGUGGGGAAUAUUGCACAAUGGGCGCAAGCCUGAUGCAGCCAUGCCGCGUGUGUGAAGAAGGCCUUCGGGUUGUAAAGCACUUUCAGCGGGGAGGAAGGCGUUAAGGUUAAUAACCUUGGCGAUUGACGUUACCCGCAGAAGAAGCACCGGCUAACUCCGUGCCAGCAGCCGCGGUAAUACGGAGGGUGCAAGCGUUAAUCGGAAUUACUGGGGGUAAAGCGCACGCAGGCGGUCUGUCAAGUCGGAUGUGAAAUCCCCGGGCUCAACCUGGGAACUGCAUUCGAAACUGGCAGGCUAGAGUCUUGUAGAGGGGGGUAGAAUUCCAGGUGUAGCGGUGAAAUGCGUAGAGAUCUGGAGGAAUACCGGUGGCGAAGGCGGCCCCCUGGACAAAGACUGACGCUCAGGUGCGAAAGCGUGGGGAGCAAACAGGAUUAGAUACCCGGGUAGUC
rnacentral:rRNA from 1 species